rnacentral:rRNA from 1 species
GCCUAGCCAUAAACUUUGACCCACAUCCGCCCGAGUACUACGAGCAACAGCUUAAAACUCAAAGGACUUGGCGGUGCUCUACACCCCCUAGAGGAGCCUGUUCUAUAAUCGAUAAUCCACGAUAAACCUCACCGCUUAUUGCCAAUACAGCCUAUAUACCACCGUCCAGCCCACCCUUUAAAGGGUAAAAAGUAGGCAAAAUUAUAUACAUAAGAACGUCAGGUCAAGGUGUAGCAAAUAAAGCGGGAAGAAAUGGGCUACAUUUUCUAACCUAGAAAACACGGAAAAGUCUAUGAAACAAGACUACGAAGGAGGAUUUAGCAGUAAAAAGAAAAAAGAGCGUUCUUUUUAAACC